rfam:Dictyocaulus viviparus strain HannoverDv2000 D_viviparus-1.0_Cont34.14, whole genome shotgun sequence.
GCCUCGGUAGUAUAAUGGAUCAACACGGUAGACGGGAUAUCUGUAAGUGCGGGUUCGAGUCCCACCCAAAGUU